AGGUUGAACUGGCGGAGGACAUUCACACAUUUCGUCACACAACGGUUUCCGACCGGCUUUCCCGGCCAUAAUUGACAUUAUGGUUGGGGGGGGGUGGGGUGGGGGGCGGCGGGAAAAUGGAUAAACUUAAACCUAACCCAACCCACCCUUGAAAUCGGUUUGGCCUUUCCCCACAAGGUUUUUUAAUUCUUUUGAAAAUUAUUCAACAAAGGCCUUUUUAUCUUUGGAUUUCGGUCGUACCCUAUCAGAGGAUAUAUAUAUAUUGCGAGAGACGUGUGUGGAUAUGCUUGUGAGUGUGUCACAUAUAUAUGCUGCUGGCAAAUUGGAAAUUUUAUAGGGCUCAGAUGUUUCUUGCAUAAUAUAAUUAAUAUAUAGACCUGAAAUCAGUUCGAGGUUCCCCC
rnacentral:misc_RNA from 1 species